UACGUAGGGACCGAGCGUUGUCCGGAUUCAUUGGGCGUAAAGAGCUCGUAGGCGGCCACUCAAGUCGAAUGUGAAACCUCGAGGCUUAACCUCGAGCCUGCAUUCGAUACUGGGCGGCUAGAGUCUGGUAGGGGGAUCUGGAACUCCUGGUGUAGCGGUGGAAUGCGCAGAUAUCAGGAGGAACACCGGUGGCGAAGGCGGGAUCCUGGGCCAGUACUGACGCUGAGGAGCGAAAGCGUGGGGAGCAAACAGG
rnacentral:rRNA from 1 species